rnacentral:rRNA from 1 species
UGAGUAACACGUAUCCAACCUGCCGUCUACUCUUGGACAGCCUUCUGAAAGGAAGAUUAAUACAAGAUGGCAUCAUGAGUCCACAUGUUCACAUGAUUAAAGGUAUUCCGGUAGACGAUGGGGAUGCGUUCCAUUAGAUAGUAGGCGGGGUAACGGCCCACCUAGUCUUCGAUGGAUAGGGGUUCUGAGAGGGAGGUCCCCCACAUUGGAACUGAGACACGGUCCAA